UUUUUUGUUGUUUUGUUUUGGUUAGCUCUAGGAGAUCACCAGAAAAAUCUGCUGAGAGGUAUGAUGCUAAGCCUACAGUGGACCAGCAGCCAAGGACGCAGCAGAGAGAUGAACAAUGUGACAGUACCAGCAGAAACAAGAGAGAAACAGAAGAGACUUUCCAGGAGAGCUCCCGCGGGGAGCCUCUGCAAAGACAGACGCGGCUCACAGCGAAGUCUCAUCUUUCUGUGGUCUCCAGUCAUCUGGUGCUCACAGAUACACACAGUGAUAAGACAGCUAUUACUUCUCAACCGCCACUGCCACUAUCCAGGUUUUCAAUUACUUUCCUACUUUAUAGUACACAAGUGAAAACAAUACAAUUACAUGGUAUUUUCCACUUAACUUUUGUUUUUACAAUGGCCCAAACUGUUAAGUAAAUCUGUAGCUAUGACCUUUGAAAAUCCUCACUUAUACUACUCAAUGAAAUGAAUCACAUUAAGGAAUCUGUGUGCAUGCAUACUGAAUACCAGGCUUCCUUUCUGGUGUUUCUAUUGGAUUCUUGUGUGGCUUAAAAAAGGGCAGACAGGGGCACAUUGCUCAUAGUUUUGAUGGAACAAAGCCCAAAGGAACAUUUCUGAGUUAAACAUACGUUCUAGUUUUGAGAGCUAUUUGACUAAAAGUGACAAAAUCUCCAAAUAAACACCAUUUCCUUAGAACUGCCAUAUACCCAGUCAUAAGCCAAAUAGUAAGAUGAAAAUACUGUCAUCACUGCCACUCUACUGUGUGACUGGACUUUGUUGAAUACACUGAUUACCGCACUUAAUCGUCAAUCCACGCUAUCAAGUAAAUUCAAUUAUCACCACAUUAUACAUCCAGACACCAAAACUCGGACAAACUAAGAAAAUAAAUCGAGGUAACACAGCUAAGAGGGGAGACACAAAUGCAGGUAGUGUAACUCCAGCGUUAGAAAUCUGCCACCACAUCAGAGUAAGGUACAACUGUUUGUAUCGUGAAUAAAAAUAACAAAAUUUCUCACUGAAUUAUUUUUGUACUCAAUUGUGAACAAAAGCAAUAUCCCUAGCUUAGGUUUGCAGUAUCCAACGUGUACAUUCUUUACCCUGGGUACAAAUUCUAAAAUUACUGAGCCAAUUCUUCAUUAAAUCCCUGGGAUGUAAAUGAACACAAUUUAAUCGCCAUCUCUGGUUUUCACAAGAAUAAAACUGUUCUUCAAGGGAAACAGCAAAUAUAGUCAGGCUGAUGAAGGGACUGUAGGUUUUUAAUUUCGGUAUAAAUUAUUGAUCUCUUUUAUAAAUAGGAAUCAGUCUUCUUUUCUGAAAUGAAUUAUAGGUGAAUGAUAGCCUGACAUGACAAUUCUCACAAUACACUUUUUUGCAGAGUGAAGACACAUGAUUUAAUGGAACAAUUUAAAUGGGGAGCUGAACUGUAAAACUCUUUAAUCAUUUGUCAAAAAGUGAUUAUCUUCAACCACAAAUCUAAAAUGAAUGCUUAAGAGUCGAGGAAUUGUGGCUGUUUUUCGAAAGUUAAAAUUCCCGUAGAAUCACUAAAAAGUACUACCUAAAAUGUUCAAGUGGAUCAAUUGUUUAUUCCUGUUCGUUUCUGGAACUAGAAUCAGAUGUAACAGCAAACCUCAAUUUCUAACUUCAGCUUUUUGGAAGUCAAAAAAAGAAGCCAAUUGAUAAGCCAUAGAGCUGGACCACUAUACACAGCUGGGCUGAAUUUUAUCUGGACAGCUCUUGUCCCUAGUAAAUGUCUGCAUACCUCUAAUGACUACUCAAUCUGAACUUUUAAGAAUUACAUGAAAAUUAAAAUUUUAUUCACAAUUAUCUAUUUUUGUCAGAGAUGCCUAAUCUUCUCUAACGAAAGGAGUUAUUCAUUAACAUUCAUCACCUGAAUGUUUUACAUCAUAAUUGCACUGGUCUCAAGUAAUUCUUAAUACAACUGUAUUUGUGUCCAGAUCACCAUUAUUUAAAAAGGCAUCUCAUAGUCUUAUGUGACAGAUAGCUUUUCAUAGUAUCUCUGAGCACUUUUCCAUCAGUAUGUUAAUGCACCAAAAUCCACUUACAUAAAACAAAAAUGGAAAGAGAAAGUACAUGAGGUUAUAAACCAUGAGGUUUCUUCUCCCUAAAUAAUGUAAAUAUAUUUUCCAUUUUGAAUUAUUGGAACCUUUGGUAAUAUAGUCUUGUUCAAAUAUUGUAUGAGCUUCCACC
ensembl:lincRNA